AUGAGCACGAGUUUGAUACUGAGCUUUUUUAUCGUUACUCUGUGCCCAGGUGCUGUGCUGGGUGACUCGAUCCAGUCCAACAAACCCGAAGCGUCUGCAGGAGCAGGGGACAAUGUGACACUCAGCUGUUCUUACAAUACCAGUUAUUCUGAUGUCUAUCUCUACUGGUACCGACAGUUUCCUGACCAAGGCCCACAGUACGUUCUCCGAAUAGGUGCCAAGGCCUACAGCUCUGUCCGUGAUUUUGCAGAGUUUGCCAAGAAGAGAUUUACUCCCCAGGCUAAUGAUACCUCUACAGUUGUGACUGUCACAGCCCUGGAGCUGGCGGACACAGCGGUGUAUUACUGCGCCCUGCAGAGGGCACAGUGA